ensembl:lncRNA
CCCGAGAGGAGGGCAGACGGGAUGUGAAUGUAAAUUCUGUAAAUAUUUUCUUUAAGGUGCUGGGCUGUAAUCCCAGGAAAUAGAUCCGGUUUCAUGGGGAGAAGGGCUGUGCUGACACUUUCUCCCCGUCAACCCAAGCCCUGGUGCAGGGCUGCAGGGCAUCAGGGCCACAAAAACACGGGGAGCACCCAGAGAGCCCUGCGCUGUCCUCUCCAUGAAUGUCCCUGGGAUGACAGCUCUGGGACAUUGCCAGGAGGAGAGGGAUGCUCCAUGCCCCACCUUCCUGAGCUGCCCCUGCUUGGGGCUGGACUUGUUUGCACUCUACCCAGAGUGCAGUACUGGGAAAGCAAAGGUAAAUGGUCUUUGGACGAUGCUGCUGAGGAUGUAUGGCCCUGCAUUCACACUGCCCCUGAACUGCAGGGGGGGCAGGUUGUGCCAAGGCAAGGAGCAGGACCCUCUGCCGGGUUGCACCCACAGCCUGUCUGCUGCCUGCUGACAGCCAAAAGUGCAAGUGCUGCUUCCCCAGACCUUGCCUUGAGCACAGCACAAGCACAGCCACGCACCGGCAUGGCUGGGGACCAUGGCUGCCACCUGAGAUAUCUCUGCAAUGUCCUCACGGUGUCCCCAUGACAAAGUGGUGCAAAGCUGUACAGCAGCACGCACAGGAAUCCCUAUUCCUCAGGCAAUCCCAAAUCCCACAGUCCCUCUCCUUCCUUUGUGCCUCCCAACCCUCGCAGGGCUCCCCAUCGCCGCCAGCCCCAGGGAUAGGCACCAUUCACUGUGAAUCCAUCCCGCAGGGCUCUGUGGAGGUCAGAGGUAUAAGCGCAUUGCAGCAGAGAUUAGGGAGGUGUGGGGAGGGCUGCUGAGCCCCUCGCAGGGUGCUGCACUCCUUUGCUGCUGUCUGCACCCUGGCACAGCUCACCCUCCUGCCCUGGAGCACGACCUGGGAGCUGAAGCAGCCCUAUGGCACAGUGGGCAGCCUGCUGGGGGACCCUGCCCUCCGUCCCCACUGUGAGCCCCCUCACCGGGUAGCCCACCUGGGCAGCCCCAGCCUCACAUGUGGCCUCCGAGCAGCCGCAGAACGGGUUUCGAAUUUCACUUUCCAUGUUUAAAAUCUCCUCUCCCUUCUCAUUUCCUUUCCCUUCCUUCCCCAGCAGAUGUGCUAACCCUGGCUCCAAUCGGUCCCAGCCCAUCUGGGAUGGCCCCGCUGGCAGCAGGGCUGGGCAGUGCCUCCCUGUGCGCCGAUGCGGGCAGCCUGGUGCUCACACAGCCAUUCUGCCAGCAUCCCUCACCCCGCGGGUACCCAAACGCUGCGACCGCUCCAUCCCAAACCCCCACAAGCGCUGCAUCUCUUGUGAGCACCGCAGCUGUCAAAACAACACGGUUUUGUCCAAAAACACCAAAUAAAGAGCAGAGUGCAGGAACCUGCCCCUCCUGGCACCCCGAUCCGCUGUGAGCCCCAUCCCGAUGGCAACGUGGGCACGUUGAGCAGCCCCAGCCGGGUUUGGCUCCAUGCAGAGAGCUGGAGGGGUACGGGGGGGGGGGGUGGGAAGGGGCCGCAGAUCGGGGCUGAUAGGGCCUGGCACUUUGGCAGAAGUUUCUAGGACAGUUUGUACAGCGUCCGCCCCAUACAAUGGCCGUGUCUCGCCGCCGCGCUGCAGCUCUCAUUUCCAUGAGCGAGGAAUUCAACCGAAAAGUAAACAGGAAAAAACGUUACAUCUCACAGUUUAUAAAUAUGUGCGGCGUUAUUUAGGCAGCCAGGCCAAUUUGCACAGAUGCCGCGUAUAUGCUGUGACAGAUCCCCGGCUUGUUUUGCAGCCACCCCUCGUGAAUGGGAAGCAGCUCUGGUUCCUCGCCAUGUCCGCGUGAAAUAUCGGCAUCCUGGCUGCGAGCGGGAGUGCUGUGGCUCUUGGGAACAGGGCUGGGAGCUGAUGUGAGUUGUUUGCACGUAGUGCUGUGAGGCUCAGGCCCCCGCGUUCCCAGCUUGGGCUGAGGGAGGCUUUGGGAAGAGGCAGGGGUGUUUGAGUGGGGGUUUCAGGGCAAGGGGAAAACCCAUUCUGGGGGCACCGGUGCACAUCUCCACUGCGAGGAGGGGUGCAGGACCCCAUUCCCUUGUCCACGGGGCUCUGGCAGGACAGACAAAUCCCACGGUCCACGCAGGGCACCCAAACCUUGCAGCCUCUGGGAGGCGGGGACCCAGGGAGCAUCCCCUCACCUCCCCCCAGCAUCAUCCAGAGGCACCCUGGUCCCGUGCCAGCGCUGCAGAGAGAGACACUGUGACUGCGCUUUUCCAGCAAAGCCCCUUCCUCCCCCCUUGCCCCCAGAGGUUUAUUCAAGCUGACAGCCGGGUGACUUGCUCGUUCCAAGCAACGUCUUAAUUACGGGACGUCCUCCGUGGGGCUUUGGGCUGUGGCCGGCAGAAGGAACGACUCCCCCAAGCAGCACUGAGCCGUGAGGGCGGCUCACACAGUGGGGAUAUUGUUUUGGCCAUUGCCUGAACAGCCCCAGCCUCUCAGCUGUAAAAUUACCUAGAGGAUAACUAAACAAACCCCAGACAAACACUCCUUUAAACGCGCUGCUUGCUUUGCAGCGGCGGUUUCCCCCGGUGUGCUCGCUGGGUUUUCUUUUCCUUCCGCUCACGGGCAGCACUUUCACUGUGCCACAGAGAGGUGCUGAGGGAGAGGUGAUGUGUGGUGGGUUGGGGGGCACCGUGGGUCGUUCUGGACCAGGCUCAGCCCCGGCCCCACUGUCAGGGCUGGAGAUCUCUGGGACCUUCAGGAGCAGAGAUACUCCGGGCUGGUUGGUGCCAGACCUGGUCCAAAAGCCUCCAUCCUGACCUGCUGCCUUUGGAAUGGCAUCUUCCCCAGUGCUAAGAGGUGUCACCGGCCUGGCCCAAAUCCUGCUGAAAGCCGUGGAAAAGCUGCCCCCAGACUCCAGCAUCACGCACGACCCAGUGGGACCACUGAUCUCCUGGGGCUGAGAUCAAGCACCAAGAGACGACAGAGCCCCUCCGGGCAGCAGGGGAGGUCAGGACAGGGCUCCUCCAGGAGGUUUCUUCUCUUGCCAGCUGCCCCCAAAAAUAGGAGAACAGCUUUGGCCGAGCCGCUCUCAGAGCCAGCGUCAGCAUUUCCUGACUCAGUGUUGAUUUCACAGAUUAAAGCUGGUUGAAAAGGUCCUGGUGGAAAUCCAGCCAGCAUUAAUUUGGGGAAGGGAAAAAAAAGAAAAAAAAAAAAAAGGAAAGCUGAGGAAUUUCAUUUGAGUUCGUUCCGAGGGGAAGGGCUGUGCUCUUCCCACCCAGAAGUUUGUUUGCUCUCGAAAUCUGUGCAAUAAACACACACGUGUCGAGCUCCCACUGCAAGCGUCGGGCUGCCUUCUGCUGCAAACGUCUCAGCGUUGCUUUUGGUGAAAGCAGAGGGUUUUGGUCGGCCUGGGGCCGUGCCUUUGCUUUCAGGUCCGUGUGUGAACCGCUGACACGCAGCGUUAUAACCGCACCAAAGUUUCCAUGUUGGCACCAGGGCUGCAGCACGGCCUGGGUCUGGCACAGGGAAGCCGUGUGGGAUUUCAGAACCAAACCUCUCCUCCAUCCCAAAAUAGAGGCACGAGGAGAUGAAAUACACCCUCAUGUUCCCGCGGGCAGAGGGGCUUUCCUUCUGCCCUUCCCGACCUGCUCAGACAGAGCAAUACCCCAAAACACAGCACAGCAGUGUGCGCUCUCAAACAUCCCAUUGAGGCAGAUCCCAAUGUUUGGCAGAUUCCUGAGAUCAGGAAAUUCCUUGAGAGUUCGGGAAGCCCUCCAAGCCCGAACCCGAGCGAUUUCACUUGCAGCAGAUAUCGAGUUCUCCUCCCCUUCUGUUGUUUUGGUGGUGGGUCAGUGGGACUUUGGCGAGCGCGUGAGAAUAAGAGCAGCAAAACAGCGCGGAAGGCCAAGGGCAGGCGCGGGGCGCAGGAACAGCUGCUCGCAAAGGGAAGCGGAGCGGCCAAGGCUCGGCCAUGAGGUCCCAGCGCCGAGCAGGGCUGGAGGCAGCCCAGCAGGUCCCAAAGGAAAAGUGUUCUCUUUCCGCUCCUGUGGUAUUUUUCUUCCACCAUGUGCAGCGGUGAGGUCAUCGAGCAAGGCUUUAUGGCAAAGUCCCUGGGCUGCUGCCACCAGCUAAAGGAAAGGCAGGAGAUGGCCCAGCUGAGCACAUGGCCAAGGAGGAACACGGACCUUCCCAAGAGCCGGAGGCACAGCUCUGCAAAGCGCAUCCGCUCUCGGCACAGGACCCAGCCAAGCCCUGGAGAAGCGAUCAGAUUCAUUGGUUUGCAGCAUUUCCUUAAACCAAAACACCAGGCUGCCACUCCUUCCACUUCUAGCUAAACAUUUCUCACACUGGGGACAGUCCUUAGGCAAAAGCAUUGUGCGGGAGAGAUGGAAAGGGCCACCCGGAGUCCUCUGAACCCCUCCAGCAGCAUGGAAGGGAUGGAAUUACUUGGCUAGCACACAAGGCCGCCUUCUGCUGCAGACCUCACCUAGGAUAUGGCAGAGCCGCUUUGGCAGAGCCUUCCUGAGCGCACCCUACAGCCCCAUAGCCGUGCAGUUUCCCAAAGUCAGAGCUCCUCGGUUGCUCCGGACCUCAGAACAGUGUGUUGGAAUGGAAAAGGCUGGGAAAGUCUUUUCUAAACCCAUCACCCCUGUCCCACCCGUGGGACCUCCUGCCUGCCUCUCGCCCUCACUGAGUCCGCCCUGCCAGCCCUGCUGGAAGGAGGACACCAACAGAGCAACCUGUGUGCCCCCAGCGGAGCGCUGUAACCCACCGCUGACCCCUCCCCAGCCUCAGCGUGUGCUGCCGCCGCCGCCGCUGCUCUGGCAUUUUUAUGAAUGGCCGCGAGCCCGGGGAAGAGAUUUGAGCGUGGAUUUGGAACAGCUCCAUCCCUUCUACCGCACGCGCUAAUCUUGACAAACGAUCAGCGUGUGGCUUUCAAAACCAGAGAUAAGGCCGUCCGGGCGCUUCGUGUCCCUGCACUUUCCCACGAAGAAAGGGUGUCUGUUCACAGACCGCAUCGUCCUCCGCAGCCCCCGCUGCCCCCACCCCAUGGAGGGGCUCCUGCAGUGAGCGCCAGCCCAGCCCCUGCGUCCACGAGACCCUCCUGAACCAACCAACGGGAUCGGUGGCUCAUGCCUGGUCCAUCCCCAUCCUCAGCCCAUGCACCGGGAGCUGCAGUGUGGCAGAAGCGUGUUCUGGGCACGGCUGUAGGAUGGCUGCAGUGCCGCCCCACAUCCCGCUGGAUGUGCCUCUGGGAAAGCUGGGUUCCGAAGUCUGCCUCUCCCAACAGACACAGACCCACAGCCAGGGGAAAAGGGCUCUGCCAGCACCAAUGCAAAGAGAGCUUUUGAUCCAUGGGAAUCACGCCCUGCUCGGCCUCUACAUCGCGCUGCUCUCUGGCCUUACCACUUGGGGAAAUGAAUGUGUACUCUGAAAAACUCAGCCUGGGAGAGCUCUUGGGAAGACAUCCAGUCCGCUUCCCUACUCCAAAUUGGUCCGGACAGACUUUUUUUUAAUCUAACCUUUCCUUUAAGAUCUCCAGAUGGCUCAAUACGGUCUCCUCCAGGGCUGUGUUAAUUUUACUACCAGAAUAUCUCUUUUAUUAAUACCCAGCUUAAAUUCCUCUUGCUGAGGACAUGCUCCUGUCCCUUUGGCAGCACAGAGGGCAGCUGUGUUCCACCACUGCACCUCACCACACCACGGUGGCUGAGGAUGAGGAUGGACAGAGCCAAAGGACGGGGAUGGGAGCAGUGCUGCAGUAGCCCUGGAGAAGCCUGGAACCCUUCAACCUCAACGUGGGUCUGCAGGGGAGUGUGAGGUGCAGCCACCAAACAUUGUACCCAGGUGGGAAUGGGGGUCAGAGCUGUCGGCUUGCUGACCCAUGAAGGGAGGCAAUUAUUUGGCUGAUGGGGCCAAGCAAGUGUUAAUUAAAAACCACGUGGAGCAGAAUGAGUCACUGUUCGGUGUCAUCCGCUUGUGAAAUUGGCCCUGCCACCCUGCCUGCCCCCAGGCAAGGCGGGCAACCACUGCCCAUGGGACAUGUGCUGCUGCUUCUGUCUGAGCUCCUAUUGCUGGGCACCUCUGGGUGCAGGGAUGGGCACCUCUGGGUGCAGGGAUGGGCACCUCUGGGUGCAGGGAUGCUCACAGUGGCACCAGUAGGCACAGCUCCCAGUGCCAGGCUCCACUGCACACGCCCUGGUGUGGAUUUGGUUUGCCCAGCAUCUGGAUUUCACCCCCAGCAGCAGUUCUGACGUGGCUAGCCAGG